ACGAGAUGAGGACUACUGAUGACGAGUCAGAAGAGUUAUUCACUGUUGAUAAACUUUUUUCUACCAUUCAUGCUUAACUGAUC
rfam:Neocallimastix californiae strain G1 LY90scaffold_5, whole genome shotgun sequence.